ensembl:lncRNA
UCUAUUGCGAAAUGUCUGGGUCUUGAUCGUUGUUUCCCUGUUUACUACUCAAAGAUAUUUUGCUUAUUAAGUCAAACGAAAUUAACUGCAAUACACUGAUCUCAAACAUAUUAGCAUAACUAGGCUACACAGAACCAUUGCGGACCCACAGUAAAAUGAGUAUUUUUAUCGUGUUAAAACAUGUCCCGGUCCAACAUGCCUAGCUCUGCCCACUGGGACGUGGCUUACGGAGCGCUCUCUGAAAUAAGAGCUCGUAUCUCGAUUCUGCCAGAUCGAGUUAUCACACAGGUAUCCAUAAUAAUAAUCACCCUCAUCGGCAACAUCUCCGAAUUUUAAUCAUUUCCUUGACCUCGGAUGACUUCAAACCGUAAGAAGGUAAUCGUGGUCGACUACAUUGGAUCAGCUGGACCGUCCACCACCCAUUUGUCAUAACAAACGGCAAUGUCAUUCUCAACCCUGGGAUCCGUGGUGGAGUUCUACAGGAGAUCCUCUGGAAACAUGGUGUAAACUAGGCGGUGGAAUGGGACAGUGCUGAGGUAUGGGAAUUUCGUGACUUUAAAGGGAGGACAUCCUUGAACAGUACAACAGGAGAAAUCACUAUCAGACAGCUAACCAAGCAGCUCAGUGGGGGUGUAUGAUUGGUGGAAAAAUACAGACCUUUCAGCAGAGAGUGAAAUUCAUUGUAAAGUCAUUGUUUCCUAAAUGGAAGGUUGGGACUUGUGAUCCAAUGAUGGAUCGGGACCUCUUUUUAGGUACUAGCUAAAGGCGGGGAUGUAACACAUUUUUAAAAUGUAAUCUUUAUUUAACUAGGCAAGUCAAUUAAGAACAAAUUCUUAUUUACAAUGACCGCCUACCCCUAUCCAAACGCUGGGCCAAUUGUGCGCCGCCAUAUGGGACUUCCAAUCAUGGCCGGAUGUGAUACAGCCUGAUUCGAACCAGGGACUGUAGUGAUGGCUCUUGCACUGAGAUGCAGUGCCUUGGACCGCUGCGCCACUCAGGAGCAAACCAUGUAAAAGGUUCAAACACAAAAAGGUUGCCAACGACUGUGUCAUGUGUUAAGGUGCUGAACAAGAACCUUGGUUAGUCCACACUUUUUAAAGACAUUUCUGUUUCUGGUUAUCUUUUUACUUCUCUUAUAAGCAAACCCUAUAUGCGGCUCUCUCCAAACAUCCCCGUGAUGAGAACGCAAGGGACUUUUUUUGUAUAUCAGAUGGGAGAACUAUGCAGGUUUGUGAGUAGAGAGAGACAAAGAGACAGUCACAGAUAAAUCUGACAUGUGUUUUAUUCCAUGGAUCCUCAUACUAGCUGCUUUUGGUGUCCUGGCCUUAGUUUUGCUUGUUGUUGGAGUAUUUCUUAUCUACAAGAAGUGUUAAAGGUAAGCCCACAUCUUUAAGUAAUACUAUGGUGUUUUUAUUUAGCUUUUGCUCCUUUAAAAUUGGAUUUCAUCUCUCAGGAUCAAAUGAUGAUUUCAGGUCAAACACUAUUCAUUAUGUUAAGUUUAGACUAAAGCAUCCCACUAGGCAGAAACUGGUUGAAUCUGUUGUUUUUAUGUCAUUUCAACCAAAAAUGAAAUGUGAUGAUGUUCAGUCUAUGCCAAAAACGGAUUGGAUUAAAAAGGAAUUUCAUGUUUUUUUUAACCCAACUUUGAACCUAAAUCCAAUGACAUUGUGAAAUGUUUUAUUGAUAUCACGUUGAAUUCAAGUUAGUUGACAACUCAACCAAAUUAAAAUCAAAACUAGAUGUUGAAAUGACGUCUGUGCCCUGUGGGAAAUCUGUCACUUGAAGAUGCUUUUCGGUUACAUAGAUACAGAUUGUUACACCAGAUAAUGGGAUUUAGUCAAAGAUGUUUGGUAACCAUUUCUGGGAGUGACAGGUUAGGUACUGUUUGGUGUAGCACGGAGGAUUUUCGACCAACCUUAUCUUGGAGAUACUAUCUUCGUUCUCGAUUCGGCCAAACGUAUCGUCUAAAAUAUCCAUGUCCAGUUGCAGGAGGUGCGUUUGAAUAUAGAAAAUGCUCCAUUAUUCAAAUAAAUACAUGUUUUGCUCCAGGAAGUAAUCCAGCAAUGUGUACGCCGUCAUCAUGUCUAUUUCAAUUCUUCUCUCAUUGUUUGAAACAGGUGAGUGUCAUCAUGACAUGCGGCACUCUCGGGUGGGCCCACCUGUCUCAAUCAAUGAGAGAAGAUUUGAAAUAGACAAGGUUUUGUCAUAACCCGCCUCUCCAUACCUCUACGCCCAUUGACUUUGCCUACUUUCAUCUCCUUUGUUUUCCCUAACAUUCACAUAUCCAGACCAAUGCAAAGUCAAUGGAGACCCUGAGACCAGAGCUGUCCGCUCCAUUGGAGGUAUCACAGCUGAUCCUCAACAGACAUCACAUCCACAUGCCUCAAUGUGGGCUGAGCCCUGGGGAUGACGACCACUCAGAAGAGGUUCCAGAGAAGACAAUAGGACCAGCCACUCUGAAGAGGACCCAGAGAAGGCAGUAGGACCAGCCACUCUGAAGAGGACCCAGAGAAGGCAGUAGGACAAGCCACUCUGAAGAGGACCCAGAGAAGGCAGUAGGACCAGCCAAUCUGAAGAGGACCCAGAGAAGGCAGUAGGACAAGCCACUCUGAAGAGGACCCAGAGAAGGCAGUAGGACCAGCCACUCUGAAGAGGACCCAGAGAAGGCAGUAGGACCAGCCACUCUGAAGAGGACCCAGAGAAUGCAGUGGGACCAGCCACUCUGAAGAGGACCCAGAGAAUGCAGUGGGACCAGCCACUCUGAAGAGGACCCAGAGAAGGCAGUAGGACCAGCCACUCUGAAGAGGACCCAGAGAAUGCAGUGGGACCAGCCACUCUGAAGAGGACCCAGAGAAUGCAGUGGGACCAGCCACUCUGAAGAGGACCCAGAGAAUGCAGUGGGACCAGCCACUCUGAAGAGGAUCCAGAGAAGGCAGUGGGAACCAGCCAUUCUGAAGAGGAUCCAGAAAAGGCAGUGGGACCAGCCAUUCUGAAGAGGAUCCACAGAAGGCAGUGGGAACCAGCCACUCUGAAGAGGACCCAGAGAAGGCAGUAGGACCAGCCACUCUGAAGAGGACCCAGAGAAGGCAGUAAGACCAGCCACUCUGAAGAGGACCCAGAGAAGGCAGUGGGAACCAGCCACUCUGAAGAGGACCCAGAGAAGGCAGUAGGACCAGCCACUCUGAAGAGGACCCAGAGAAGGCAGUAAGACCAGCCACUCUGAAGAGGACCCAGAGAAGGCAGUAGGACCAGCCACUCUGAAGAGGACCCAGAGAAGGCAGUA